UACGUAGGGCGCAAGCGUUGUCCGGAAUUAUUGGGCGUAAAGAGCUCGUAGGCGGUUUGUCGCGUCUGCUGUGAAAGCCCGGGGCUCAACCCCGGGUCUGCAGUGGGUACGGGCAGACUAGAGUGCAGUAGGGGAGACUGGAAUUCCUGGUGUAGCGGUGAAAUGCGCAGAUAUCAGGAGGAACACCGGUGGCGAAGGCGGGUCUCUGGGCAGUAACUGACGCUGAGGAGCGAAAGCGUGGGGAGCGAACAGG
rnacentral:rRNA from 1 species